rnacentral:rRNA from 1 species
GAUGAACGCUGGCGGCGUGCCUAAUACAUGCAAGUCGAGCGAACGGACGAGAAGCUUGCUUCUCUGAUGUUAGCGGCGGACGGGUGAGUAACACGUGGAUAACCUACCUAUAAGACUGGGAUAACUUCGGGAAACCGGAGCUAAUACCGGAUAAUAUUUUGAACCGCAUGGUUCAAAAGUGAAAGACGGUCUUGCUGUCACUUAUAGAUGGAUCCGCGCUGCAUUAGCUAGUUGGUAAGGUAACGGCUUACCAAGGCAACGAUGCAUAGCCGACCUGAGAGGGUGAUCGGCCACACUGGAACUGAGACACGGUCCAGACUCCUACGGGAGGCAGCAGUAGGGAAUCUUCCGCAACGGGCGAAAGCCUGACGGAGCAACGCCGCGUGAGUGAUGAAGGUCUUCGGAUCGUAAAGCUCUGUUAUUAGGGAAGAACAUAUGUGUAAGUAACUGUGCACAUCUUGACGGUACCUAAUCAGAAAGCCACGGCUAACUACGUG